GACGAACGCUGGCGGCGUGCCUAAUACAUGCAAGUAGAACGCACAGUUUAUACCGUAGCUUGCUACACCAUAAACUGUGAGUUGCGAACGGGUGAGUAACGCGUAGGUAACCUGCCUGGUAGCGGGGGAUAACUAUUGGAAACGAUAGCUAAUACCGCAUAAUAUUAAUUAUUGCAUGAUAAUUGAUUGAAAGAUGCAAUUGCAUCACUACCAGAUGGACCUGCGUUGUAUUAGCUAGUAGGUGAGGUAACGGCUCACCUAGGCGACGAUACAUAGCCGACCUGGGAGGGUGAUCGGCCACACUGGGACUGAGACACGGCCCAGACUCCUACGGGAGGCAGCAGUAGGGGAUCUUCGGCAAUGGACGAAAGUCUGACCGAGCAACGCCGCGUGAGUGAAGAAGGUUUUCGGAUCGUAAAGCUCUGUUGUAAGAGAAGAACGGGUGUGAGAGUGGAAAGUUCACACUGUGACGGUAUCUUACCAGAAAGGGACGGCUAACUACGUG
rnacentral:rRNA from 1 species